rnacentral:rRNA from 1 species
AGUGGCGACGGGUGAGUAACACGUUGGAACCUGCCCCAAAGUGAGGAAUAAGCCACCGAAAGGUGGUCUAAUACUUCAUAAUAUCCAUCUCGUAUGGAUUAAAGCUUUAUGCGCUUUGGGAGGGGCCUGCGUAACAUUAGCUUGUUGGUGAGGUAAAAGCUCACCAAGGCUUCGAUGUUUAACUGGUUUGAGAGGAUGACCAGUCACACUGGGACUGAGAUACGGCCCAGACUCCUACGGGAGGCAGCAGUAAGGAAUCUUCCACAAUGGGGCAACCCUGAUGGAGCAAUACCGCGUGCAGGAUGAAGCGUUUCGGCGUGUAAACUGCUUUUAUCACCGAAGAUUAUGACUGUAGGUGAAGAAUAAGGACCGGCUAACUACGUG